ACUUCCGGCCGGAAGUUGCUGACGGAGCUACUUCCGCCCAGGGGAGUGGGAAGUAAGUGGAGACACGUGCUUUGGCCUGUUGGAGGGGAAACCCGCUCUCGCCUCCUGGUGGUCGCCGACUCGCAGUCCGCAGGAUGACUCAGGGCAGCCCUGACCACAGUUCCGCCGCCAUCGGCCCUAGCCUGCGGAAUUGGGCUCGCCCCGGGACGAUAACAGAGCUCUGCCGGGGGCUGGAGGCACUGACCGGGUGACCAGAGACCCAGAGACCAGACCCCCUCCACGGCGCCCGGGAUUUCGGGGACGGCUUCUCCCAUCGCAAGUUUCAACAGAAAAUGAGAAAUAUCCCCCGACGAUUGGCUGAAAACAUGCAGCAACCACUAUUUUCUUCCUGCCCCUCGUUGAUGAGAGCAUUCGAAGUGACCUCAGCAGGGCAUCCAGGUCAGUUUCUGGAAGACUUGUGUGUGUGAUGAAUGAAUAUCUGGUUUUGUCUCUGCUGGGCCUGUGUGCCUGGAAAGGAAUUGUUUUGGCCUAGGAUCAUCCAGGUUUGUUUGGUUUAGUUCUUGACCACAUAUUUUUUGAAUGGUGACUGCUUAAGACCCUGUUGUGUAUGGCUAUAAAUAGAUACACGCCAAGGUGACCACAUACUCUGUGGUUCCUGUGCCCGCCGGCCAUGUGUCUGAGUGUGUAGCCUCUCAUCAUCUAAAGGAACUUUGGCUGCAGAGGGGAGGCCUGGUCCCAUGGGAAGUUUUGGGAGCGCAGCAGCAGGUGGGUUCAAACGACCCAGCAAGUGCCUCCUUAGCACUUAGAGGCGGAGGCCACCACGUUGUCCACGUGGGGUUUCUGAUCCCAGCUCCCCACCAGCCUGCUGGACCUCGGGCAGGUCCCUCCCUGUUUGUACCUCCAUUACUUCUUCAGUAAGAUGGGGACACUGAAGAUGACCAUGCCUCCCACCAGAUUGGUGCUUUUUUUGUUUUAAUAAGGGACAGAGUCUCACUAUGUUGCCUAUAGGCUGGUCUCAAGCUCUUGGCCUCAGUUUUCCUGCCUCAGCCUUCAAAUAUGCUGGGGUGACAGGCAUGAGCCACUGCACUGGCCCAGAUUGGUACAUUUGAGGGUUAAAUGAGCAAAUCCUAUAAAGCACUCAGGAGAGGGCUGUGGGGUUUGGGCUGGGGCCUGGGAGCACUUUAGACGUGGUAGCUAUGUUGUUGUCACCUUUCUCCUCUUUCAAAGCAUUUUUUGUUUGUUUGUUUUUGUUUUUGAGACAGAGUUUCGCUCUUGUGGCCCAGGCUGGAGUGCGGUGGUGUGACCUCGGCUCACUGCAUCCUCCGCCUCCCGGGUUCAAGUGAUGGGAUUACAGGUGCCUGCCACAACGCCCAGCUAAUUGUUUGUAUUUUUAGUAGAGACGAGGUUUCACCAUGUUGGCCAGGCUGGUCUCGAACUCCUGACCUCAGGUGAUCCACCUGCCUUGGCCUCCCAAAGUGCUGGGAUUACAGGUAUGAGCUACCGCGCCCGGCACAAAGCAUUUUCAGCUGUGAAAUUCCCUGGGGUGCUGCAGUAGAGGAAGGUUUGGGGUCUUGACGGGUGCUAUUUGCCACGGAAAGAUGCCUUCCUGCUCCCAGGGCAGGAGAGCCGAGGUAAGACUUACUGUAGGCUGUCGUUUUUUUUGUUUGUUUUUUGUCUUUGCGAUGGAGUCUCACUCUGUCGCCAGGCUGGAGUGCAGUGGCAUGAUCUUGGCUCACUGCAGAACCUCCACCUCCCAGGUUCAAGCGAUUCUCCUGCCUCAGCCUCCCAAGUAACUGGGAUUACAGGCACAUGCCCCCACAACCAGCUAAUUUUUUAUUUUUAGUAGAGACAGGGUUUCACAUGUUGGCCAGGCUGGUCUUGAACUCCUGACCUCAGGUGAUCCGCCCGCCUCGGCCUCCCAAAGUGCUGGGAUUACAGACAUGAGCCACUGCGCCCAGCCAGGCUGUUGUUUUUUUACCUCCUUGUUUGCACAAUUUGGGCCACUCACAAGAGUGUAUACCCUGUGAUAAACAGUUACCUACAUUCUCCUCUGCAUGCUUGUCUUUAGAGGAAGGAAAUGUAUUAAUUGCCCAAAGUAAUAUAUUGUGUUAAGAUGUGAUAUAUACUGGGGAAAAAAAAAGUGUAUAUUGACAUUUCUGGAAUAAACCACUUUGAUUCCCAGUUA
ensembl:lncRNA SNHG20 small nucleolar RNA host gene 20